UACGGAGGGUGCGAGUGUUGUCCGGAAUCACUGGGCGUAAAGGGCGCGUAGGCGGCGCGGAUAGUCGGCGGUGAAAGCCCGGAGCUCAACUCCGGGUCGGCCGUCGAUACUUCCGGGCUUGAGCACUGUAGAGGCAGAUGGAAUUCCGGGUGUAGCGGUGGAAUGCGUAGAGAUCGGAAGAACACCGGUGGCGAAGGCGGUCUGCUGGGCGAGUUGCU
rnacentral:rRNA from 1 species